AAUGCAGCAUAAAUACAAAGACAAUCAGGGGAUAACGAGCCGCAGGUGUAGGUAAUCAAGGUGAGGCUGACCCACAAGGCGGGAACAUGAGGAGCUGGAUCUGAAAUGACAGAGACAAGGAUGGACACAGCAAAAAUGAAGAUAAGCUGCAGGAGUUCUGGGAGACCAGCAAUCAGCCUGGUUUGAUUGGACAGAGGCACACUUCAUGCUCGGGUAUGUCAAGCCUGAUGCCAUGAGACAUUUUUUUAAUAAAAAUAUGGUGUGUUUGAAAGCUCGCCUUUCUAUUUGUUUCAAAUACAGCGAGUUAAACAUGUGGGUGUGCAGGAUUUAGAGUUGUUUAAAGCACUUAAAAUGAAGCGCCCGUCUAGCACCAAACAGCAAGCUGAUAAACAUCAUGUAAUAAAAGAGCCUCACAUUUCCCUGUGGGGUAGAUAGAGACAGAGACAAAGGCAAAAUAUAAAUAAUCUUUUUAUUUUAUUUUAUUUAGUUUGCUGCGAUAAAAGCAAAGCCAAUAUUGGACUUACUCUAAUCAAAUGUCAGGAAACAAGACUAUGUAUUAACAUUAGUAAUGUGUCAUGUCUGCUGAUUACAGAAAGGAUAAACCACUGACCUACCCAGUUUCCAAUGAGCCAUCAAGAGAGAAUCAUCAGUUAAUUGACAGACAUUCAUUCAAGGUUAUUCACUUAUCACAGACCAACAAAGGAUACAUAAUAUGUAAAUCACCUGCAAUAAUUCAGAAGUUCUUCUUCUUUUCCAAGGGAUUCUUCAAUGAUUUCCUAAUCAAACGUCUUAACAAUUCUUGGAAGCACUGCUCCAAUGUUUAACAAAUAAAGUGCUUUGUGGCUCCAGAGGAAGCAGCACUCUCCUCAAAUGAGUCUUUUCUAAAGAGUGG